GACGGAGGUGGCGAGCGUUGUUCGGAAUUACUGGGCUUAAAGGGAGCGUAGGCGGUAUGCUAAGUCGCCGGUGGAAGUUCGGGGCUCAACCCCGAAAUGUCCUGCGAAACUGGUGUACUUGAGUUGUCCAGGGGAUGGCGGAAUUCCAGGUGUAGCGGUGAAAUGCGUAGAUAUCUGGAGGAAGGCCUGUGCCGAAGGGGGCCAUCUGGGGACACACUGACGCUGAGGCUCGAGAGCGUGGGUAGCAAACAGG
rnacentral:rRNA from 1 species